rnacentral:rRNA from 1 species
UACAGAGGGGGCAAGCGUUGUUCGGAAUUACUGGGCGUAAAGGGCGCGUAGGCGGCCUUCUAAGUCGAACGUGAAAUCCCUGGGCUCAACCCAGGAACUGCGUCCGACACUGGAAGGCUUGAAUCCGGGAGAGGGAUGCGGAAUUCCAGGUGUAGCGGUGAAAUGCGUAGAUAUCUGGAGGAACACCGGUGGCGAAGGCGGCAUCCUGGACCGGUAUUGACGCUGAUGAGCGAAAGCUAGGGGAGCAAACGGG